CGGCGAACGGCUCAGUAACACGUGGCUAACCCACCCUUUGGACUGGGACAACCCCGGGAAACUGGGCCUAAUCCCUGAUAGAUGAGAAGGCCUGGAAUGGUUUCUCAUCUAAAAGGUGUUUAGACCAUGCUUCUAGACGUCGCCAAAGGAUGGGGCCGCGGCCGAUCAGGUUGUUGGUGAGGUAACGGCUCGCCAAGCCUAUAACCGGUACGGGCCGUGAGAGCGGGAGCCCGGAGAUGGGCACUGAGAUAAGGGCCCAGGCCCUACGGGGCGCAGCAGUUGCGAAAACUCCGCAAUGCGCGAAAGCGUGACGGGGCUACCCCGAGUGCCGUCCGCUGAGGACGGCUUUUCCACGGUGUAAGGAGCCGUGGGAAUAAGGAGAGGGCAAGUCUGGUGUCAGCCGCCGCGGUAAAACCAGCUCUCCGAGUGGUGGGGACGAUUAUUGGGCUUAAAGCGUUCGUAGCCGGUCCGGCAAGUCUUCCGUUAAAUCCAGCGAUCUAAUCGUUGGACUGCGGGAGAUACUGUUGGGCUAGGGGGCGGGAGAAGCCGACGGUAUUCUCGGGGUAGGGGUGAAAUCCCAUAAUUCCGGGAAGACCACCAGUGGCGAAGGCGGUCGGCUAGAACGCGCCCGACGGUGAGGGACGAAAGCUGGGGGAGCGAACCGGAUUAGAUACCCGGGUGGUCCCAGCUGUAAACGAUGCGG
rnacentral:rRNA from 1 species